AUUUAAGUAGUUUAAUUAAAAUAUUGAUUUGUGGAAUCAAUGAUGUACAUUUGUACUUUAAAUA
rnacentral:tRNA from 1 species